GAGACAGAGACAGGUCUACGUUCAGUCAACAAUACACACUGAUCAUCUGUUCACAUCUUCAUUGUUACUGAAACAAAUAACUCUAACUCUACCCGUCUCCCUCUCUACCCGUCUCCCUCUCUACCCGUCUACCCGUCUCCCUCUCUACCCGUCUCCCUCUCUACCCGUCUACCCGUCUCCCUCUCUACCCGUCUCCCUCUCUACCCGUCUCCCUCUCU